CAAGAAGCAGCCCAGGCGAUCCCAAGGCGCACAAGUGCUCUCACCAGGCUGCGCGCUGGCGGGUCGGUGCACAGGGACGGGGUCGCCGCCCACGCGCGCUUGGUUCAGGGAGCCCAGGCUGUCCCUACCCGCGGCUACAAAAGCUCGCCGAGUCUUCCUGUCCACCCAAUCGCCCCACAUGUCAGCGGUUGGUCGCCUCGCGGUGCAGUGCUGGGCACGCGAGCCCCUCCCGCAGUCAUUCUCAGCACAAGCACCAGCCUGGAGCCCCGCAGCGACAGAGCUGAGAGCCCCCAAGCCGCAGAGGUCGUGCGGAGCAGGUUGCAAAUGUCUUAGAAACACACUCCUGGACCACAGCUUCAAGAGACGCAAGCAGUCACCUCAUCUGCUGGUUUCCAAGCUGCCCUGCCAGAAGCAGGUCAGGGGUCCCACAGGGGUCCUCAGUAACUCCUCAAAAUCCUCUCCCAUCAAUGGCCCCACCAGAUCAUCCCUACUUUUGAAUGCUUGUCCAAUGCAGGUUCCAGAUUUGAUUAAGUGAAACAAAGCCCCAGCUGCUGGAGCAGAGGUUCCACUUGGGUUCCACAGACACCCACAGCCCAAAUCCCUGGAGGCCUAAGGCAAUAGCUAAUUGAGACUAUGCAUCACUAUUAAGGCAUCUUCACUAAAGGGCGCUGUGGAAACGCUGCCUGAGAUGCAGACACCUGUCAGAAGGGGGCUAAAUUUCAAACAAGGAACGUGGUGUUGCAUCACAAUAAAUAGAUACGGGGUUUCACCGUGUUAGCCAGGAUGGUCUCGAUCUCCUGACUUCAUGAUUCACAUGCCUCGGCCUCCCAAAGUGCUGGGAUUACAGAACAGAAGAAACACACGUGUUCUUGUGUGUAAACCCAGUCCAUGGAAGAGACCGUCUGCUUGUCCCUCCUGAUCUCUGGGCCCAGACAACCAGUAGUCACCAUUCCAAGUGAGGGGUGGCUGCAACUCUACAGCCCCGUUCGUCUCUCCUCACUGUCAAAGCUGCUGAGACCCCAGACUCGACACUUGAAAGAAACCCAUGUCUGUGAAGCACUUGUGGACCAUUCAAGAUUGUGGAAGAAUCACUCAAGAGAAGGAGAUAGCAAUAUUUGCAGAUAUGCAAACUGGCCCCUUGCAUGCACAUCCUGGAGCACGUCCUGGAGCCUUUAGAGGAGACGGCUGCUGCUGUUCCAGUCUCUCCUUAGGCAGACUUGAGUUUCUACCCACUCUUCCCAAGCAGCCGCCCCUCCGCACCCGAGCGAGCCAAAGACCUGGCGGGCUGAGUACUCACUGCGCGCUGGACACAUGCUGAGCCGGCACUGCAGGGACACAGGGCGAGCCGCUGGAUGCAGACCUGUGGCCGCGGCAGUUGGGCUUAUCUUGCCCAUGAAGUUGCCUCUGAAGAACCAAGUCCAACUGUGUAUGCUGAGAGAUGUCUGGCUACUUCCUGAUUGACAGUUCUGGCAAGGUGGCAUUGGGCCCUGGCUUUUCCUCUGGAGGCAUCAUCACUUAUAGGAAAAUGUCCCCUGAAGUCCAAGGAUCAAAGCUGCUGGAACACUGAGAAGCUGAACAAAGGAGAACUGUUUCUCAUCAAACCCAGACUUCCAGACUUCCAAUAGGGUAGAAUGAGCAAGUCAGCAAAUCAUCUUCCUUGGAAACAGUGAUAAAACUAGAUGACAUUGUCAACAACAGCCAUUUCAGAAAUCUAGAAAAUGACCAAAGGCAAACAACAAACUGAGAAGCAUUUUUUUUUCCAUGAAAAAUCGCUCUAUUUCUGCAAAAAUAGUGGGAGUCUAUGGCUUCUCAUCCAGGGCUGUUUCUCUCCCCACCCCAGCUCAGUCAGUACAAAGGUUCUGGCAGCAUGAGGCAGACUGAACAGACCUGAAGUUUGAUUGCUGGAAGAAACUGACUCCAGGUUUGGCAGAGGGUGAGAAACCUACUCCCAGCCAUGUUGUCUGGUGACACAGUGACCUUAGGGACAAGUGAAUAGGGAAGGCCAGUGAUUCAUUAACCUGAGGUUGCAGUCCUGGUUGGGGAAAGCAUCAGAAUGGCAGAUAAGCUAGAAAUUUAGUAGGGAUAUGCUGGAAAUGAGACAACCCCAAAGGGGCUUGACCCCAAAGUUGUCCACACACCCCAGCUGCCUUCUGAGCAGAUGUAGGGAGAGACCAGAGAAGGCCUAGGCUAUCCACACAUCUCUGGCUAACCCAGGCUGUAAACCUGUGGAGGAGACACAAGAGGUGGAUUGAUUGCUAAUGGGCAUAUGGGGGAUCUUACUGGUUGAUAGGAACAUUCUCAAAUUGGAUUGUGGUGAUGCUUGCACAACUCUAAGUUUAUCCCAAAUUGCUAAAUUUUACACUAAAAAGGGGUGAACUUUAGGGUAUAUAAAUUAUACAUCAAUAAAGUUGUCAUAAAGCAUUCACAUUCUAAUAAAUGGCUCUAAGAAAU
rnacentral:lncRNA from 1 species